rnacentral:rRNA from 1 species
UGGGGAAUAUUGGACAAUGGGCGCAAGCCUGAUCCAGCAAUGCCGCGUGUGUGAAGAAGGUUUUCGGAUUGUAAAGCACUUUCAGCGGGGACGAUGAUGACGGUACCCGCAGAAGAAGCCCCGGCUAACUUCGUGCCAGCAGCCGCGGUAAUACGAAGGGGGCAAGCGUUGCUCGGAAUGACUGGGCGUAAAGGGCGCGUAGGCGGUUGACACAGUCAGAUGUGAAAUUCCUGGGCUUAACCUGGGGGCUGCAUUUGAUACGUGGCGACUAGAGUGUGAGAGAGGGUUGUGGAAUUCCCAGUGUAGAGGUGAAAUUCGUAGAUAUUGGGAAGAACACCGGUGGCGAAGGCGGCAACCUGGCUCAUGACUGACGCUGAGGCGCGAAAGCGUGGGGAGCAAACAGG